UGCCAGCCGCCGCGGUAAUACGAAGGGGGCUAGCGUUGUUCGGAAUUACUGGGCGUAAAGCGCACGUAGGCGGAUCGUUAAGUGAGGGGUGAAAUCCCAGGGCUCAACCCUGGAACUGCCUUUCAUACUGGCGAUCUUGAGUUCGAGAGAGGUGAGUGGAAUUCCGAGUGUAGAGGUGAAAUUCGUAGAUAUUCGGAGGAACACCAGUGGCGAAGGCGGCUCACUGGCUCGAUACUGACGCUGAGGCGCGAAGGCGUGGGUAGCGAACGGGAUUAGAUA
rnacentral:rRNA from 1 species